ACGAACGCUGGCGGCGUGCUUCACACAUGCAAGUCGCACGGAAAGGCCCUGCUUUUGUGGGGUGCUCGAGUGGCGAACGGGUGAGUAGCACGUGAGUAACCUGCCCUUGACUUUGGGAUAACUUCAGGAAACUGGGGCUAAUACCGGAUAGGAGCUCCUGCUGCAUGGUGGGGGUUGGAAAGUUUCGGCGGUUGGGGAUGGACUCGCGGCUUAUCAGCUUGUUGGUGGGGUAGUGGCUUACCAAGGCUUUGACGGGUAGCCGGCCUGAGAGGGUGACCGGCCACAUUGGGACUGAGAUACGGCCCAGACUCCUACGGGAGGCAGCAGUGGGGAAUAUUGCACAAUGGGCGGAAGCCUGAUGCAGCAACGCCGCGUGCGGGAUGACGGCCUUCGGGUUGUAAACCGCUUUCGCCUGUGACGAAGCGUGAGUGACGGUAAUGGGUAAAGAAGCACCGGCUAACUACGU
rnacentral:rRNA from 1 species